UACAGAGGUGGCAAGCGUUGUUCGGAAUUACUGGGCGUAAAGGGCGCGUAGGCGGUCUUGUCAGUCCCUUGUGAAAUCCCCCGGCUCAACUGGGGAACUGCAAGGGAAACAGCAGGGCUUGAGUUCGGGAGAGGGAAGCGGAAUUCCGGGUGUAGCGGUGAAAUGCGUAGAUAUCCGGAGGAACACCGGUGGCGAAGGCGGCUUCCUGGACCGAUACUGACGCUGAGGCGCGAAAGCUAGGGGAGCAAACGGG
rnacentral:rRNA from 1 species